UACGUAGGUGGCAAGCGUUGUCCGGAUUUACUGGGCGUAAAGAGCGCGCAGGCGGCUGGUCAAGUCCGAUGUGAAAGCUCCCGGCUUAACUGGGAAACGGCAUCGGAAACUGAUCGGCUUGAAGGUGGGAGAGGGUAGUGGAAUUCCCGGUGUAGUGGUGAAAUGCGUAGAUAUCGGGAGGAACACCAGUGGCGAAGGCGACUUCCUGGCCUGUUCUUGACGCUGAGGCGCGAAAGCUAGGGGAGCAAACGGG
rnacentral:rRNA from 1 species